GCCAGCAUGGUGUAGUGGUUUGAGUGACGGAUUAUGACUCUGGAGAUCAGGGUUCGAUUCCCUGCUCAAGCA